UUAAUGCACCUUAACCCUAAAUCUACGCCUUAUUUCACCCCACCCAACCCAAUUGUCUGUCUUCCUCGCCUUAUUUCUUCCAAAUCACAAUCUUUUUGUUCAGGCUGUCUAGAUCGUUGACCCACUACUACCAGAUCCCUCAAUGGCGACUUCUUGACAUUUGUAGAAAUUCGAUUUGGUCUUGUGGAAGGAUUGUAAUUUGGGAGGUUAUAGUUGCAUCUGCACGUCAUUUUAGUAUAUCACAAUUCACAAUUUUUAGUUGUCUUUUUUUUUAAUUGUUUAUUAUAAGAUGAUGGAUAAUAUCAUUAUUAUUAUUUAUAUGCAUAGAUGGUUUUUACUUUAUGAUAUUUCUUAAUGCUCUGCUUCUUUCUGUUCAUUGCAUAGGUUGUUUCUGAAAUAAUAGUUCUAGUUGUUGCUCUUGAUCUGAGGAGGUAUGAAAUCAUAUUCUGGUUCUACGAUCGAUGCUUGGAUGGUGUGUUAAAAUGAUUGGUUUUUUCAUGUCAACAUUUUUGGGCCAAAAGUUGGAACUCUUAGAUUUCAUCACAACAACCACAAACUUGCAACAUGGUUCAAGAUACAGCUCUAGCUUUAUUAAGAAAUGAAUUCAAGAUGUUAAAGUUUUACACAUUUAUUCCUUUAUAAUUGUAGAACUUGUUUAUACUUUAAAGAAAUAUAUACCUUUGUGUUUGUA
rnacentral:lncRNA from 1 species